UACGUAGGGUGCAAGCGUUAAUCGGAAUUACUGGGCGUAAAGCGUGCGCAGGCGGUUUUGUAAGCCAGAUGUGAAAUCCCCGGGCUUAACCUGGGAAUGGCAUUUGGGACUGCAAGGCUCGAGUGCGGCAGAGGAGACUGGAAUUCCUGGUGUAGCAGUGAAAUGCGUGGAUAUCAGGAGGAACACCGAUGGCGAAGGCAGGUCUCUGGGCUGACACUGACGCUCAUGCACGAAAGCGUGGGGAGCAAACAGG
rnacentral:rRNA from 1 species